AGAUGGGAAUACAAUAAAUGAAAGCGAUGAAAAUAGUGACUGGCUCCAUAGGCAGUCAUCCUAUUGUAACAGCUUGCAACAAUUAUCAGACGGUUCGGUACCUUUAAGCACGAUUGGUGGCAUUGGUGACGUGCAUAACAUUGACACUGAGGAAGGUCUCGGCAACCGGCUUGUCACGUGUUCAAAAGAGCAUAAGCGUGAUUAUGACAGAGCACGAAAUGCCGCAAUGUCUCCUGAACAAAGGGCG